rnacentral:rRNA from 1 species
GAUCGGUUCAGGACGAACGCUGGCGGCGCGCCUAACACAUGCAAGUCGAACGGGGUUAUACGGGAUGAAGUUUUCGGAUGGAAUUCUAUAUAACCUAGUGGCGGACGGGUGAGUAACACGUGAGCAACCUGCCUAUCAGAGGGGGAUAACGAUUGGAAACGAUCGCUAAUACCGCAUGACAUAGCGAAGAGGCAUCUUUUUGCUAUCAAAGAUUUAUCGCUGAUAGAUGGGCUCGCGUCCGA